GGAGCCGCAGCGAAAGCGAGUCUGAAUAGGGCGUUGAGUAUUUGGUCGUAGACCCGAAACCAGGUGAUCUACCCUUGGUCAGGUUGAAGUUCAGGUAACACUGAAUGGAGGACCGAACCGACUUACGUUGAAAAGUGAGCGGAUGAACUGAGGGUAGCGGAGAAAUUCCAAUCGAACUUGGAGAUAGCUGGUUCUCUCCGAAAUAGCUUUAGGGCUAGCCUCAAGUGAUGAUUAUUGGAGGUAGAGCACUGUUUGGACGAGGGGCCCCUCUCGGGUUACCGAAUUCAGACAAACUCCGAAUGCCAAUUAAUUUAACUUGGGAGUCAGAACAUGGGUGAUAAGGUCCGUGUUCGAAAGGGAAACAGCCCAGACCACCAGCUAAGGUCCCAAAAUAUAUGUUAAGUGGAAAAGGAUGUGGCGUUGCCCAGACAACUAGGAUGUUGGCUUAGAAGCAGCCAUCAUUUAAAGAGUGCGUAAUAGCUCACUAGUCGAGUGACACUGCGCCGAAAAUGUACCGGGGCUAAACAUAUUACCGAAGCUGUGGAUUGUCCUUUGGACAAUGGUAGGAGAGCGUUCUAAGGGCGUCGAAGCAUGAUCGCAAGGACAUGUGGAGCGCUUAGAAGUGAGAAUGCCGGUGUGAGUAGCGAAAGACGGGUGAGAAUCCCGUCCACCGAUUGACUAAGGUUUCCAGAGGAAGGCUCGUCCGCUCUGGGUUAGUCGGGUCCUAAGCUGAGGCCGACAGGCGUAGGCGAUGGAUAACAGGUUGAUAUUCCUGUACCACCUAGUAUCGUUUUAAUCGAUGGGGGGACGCAGUAGGAUAGGCGAAGCGUGCUGUUGGAGUGCACGUCCAAGCAGUAAGGCUGAGUGUUAGGCAAAUCCGGCACUCAUAAGGCUGAGCUGUGAUGGGGAGAGGAAAUUGUUUCCUCGAGUCGUUGAUUUCACACUGCCGAGAAAAGCCUCUAGAUAGAUAACAGGUGCCCGUACCGCAAACCGACACAGGUAGUCAAGAUGAGAAUUCUAAGGUGAGCGAGCGAACUCUCGUUAAGGAACUCGGCAAAAUGACCCCGUAACUUCGGGAGAAGGGGUGCUCUUUAGGGUUCACGCCCAGAAGAGCCGCAGUGAAUAGGCCCAAGCGACUGUUUAUCAAAAACACAGGUCUCUGCUAAACCGUAAGGUGAUGUAUAGGGGCUGACGCCUGCCCGGUGCUGGAAGGUUAAGAGGAGUGGUUAGCUUCUGCGAAGCUACGAAUCGAAGCCCCAGUAAACGGCGGCCGUAACUAUAACGGUCCUAAGGUAGCGAAAUUCCUUGUCGGGUAAGUUCCGACCUGCACGAAUGGCGUAA
rnacentral:rRNA from 1 species